CUCUCUUUUAACAGCAAUCAAAGUUUUCACUGAAUUUUUAUUCAGCAUUUGCAUCUUACUGCACUAUUCCAAAUUACAGACAUCUAAAAUACAUGGCAUGGAAGAUUAAGCCUUUGACUGUUAUAAGUAUUACAUGUAUGAAUACAUGCAAAAUGUAUAGAUUGUGAGAGAGAAAUUCAUAAUCAAUAAGGAAGGCUUCUGCAUACAAGUGGAGAUCUUGCAUAUGGGGGAAGGUUAAGCACAGAAGGAUGGAUUUUUCAAUGUGCACUGCAUAGGCUGAUGAUGUAAUUUUAUUUUCAGAGUGGAAAUCUGCCCCUCAACAAGCUAGCCUCCCAUCUCAAAUGAAACCUCAAAAGCAGAACCAGUGUAAAA